UGGGGAAUAUUGCACAAUGGGCGCAAGCCUGAUGCAGCCAUGCCGCGUGUAUGGAGAAGGCCUUCGGGUUGUAAAGUACUUUCAGCGGGGAGGAAGGGAGUAAAGUUAAUACCUUUGCUCAUUGACGUUACCCGCAGAAGAAGCACCGGCUAACUCCGUGCCAGCAGCCGCGGUAAUACGGAGGGUGCAAGCGUUAAUCGGAAUUACUGGGCGUAAAGCGCACGCAGGAGGUCUGUCAAGUCGGAUGUGAAAUCCCCGGGCUCAACCUGGGAAAUGCAUUCGAAACGGGCAGGCUAGAGUCUUGUAGAGGGGGGUAGAAUUCCAGGUGUAGCGGUGAAAUGCGUAGAGAUCUGGGGGAAUACCGGUGGCGAAGGCGGCCCCCUGGACAAAGACUGACGCUCAGGUGCGAAAGCGUGGGGAGCAAACAGG
rnacentral:rRNA from 1 species